AUUGAACGCUGGCGGCAUGCUUUACACAUGCAAGUCGGACGGCAGCACAGAGAAGCUUGCUUCUUGGGUGGCGAGUGGCGAACGGGUGAGUAACAUAUCGGAACGUACCGAGCAGUGGGGGAUAACUAAUCGAAAGAUUAGCUAAUACCGCAUAUAUUCUGAGGAAGAAAGCAGGGGACCAUUUGGCCUUGCGCUGUUUGAGCGGCCGAUAUCUGAUUAGCUAGUUGUGGGGUAAAGGCCUACCAAGGCGACGAUCAGUAGCGGGUCUGAGAGGAUGAUCCGCCACACUGGGACUGAGACACGGCCCAGACUCCUACGGGAGGCAGCAGUGGGGAAUUUUGGACAAUGGGCGCAAGCCUGAUCCAGCCAUGCCGCGUGUCUGAAGAAGGCCUUCGGGUUGUAAAGGACUUUUGUCAGGAAAGAAAAAGGCGGGGUUAAUACCCCUGUCUGAUGACG
rnacentral:rRNA from 1 species